rnacentral:tRNA from 1 species
GAGGGUGUAGCUCAAAUGGUAGAGCACAUGCUUAGCAUGCACGAGGUCCUGGGUUCAAUCCCCAGUACCUCCA